rnacentral:lncRNA from 1 species
UCUCCUCCCUCCCCACAGAGAGCUGGUACUUACCCCUUCCUGAACAGUGCAUGCAUCUAUAAAUACAGGAAGCAUCAGCCUCACACUUUGCAGCUGAGCCCUUCAGCAACAGGCAUCAGUUCAACAAGGAACUUGAAGAUCUAGGAAGCGGAGAAAAACAGUCCUGCGGCUGCAGAAACCACCCGACCUUGGUGUUUGGCCAUUGUUGAAGCCGGACCUUUCUUGUUCCCAGAGAUGAAGCUGUUUCUCCUCCACCUUUCUGCUGCCCUUGUAGCUACAGCAAACUCCCUAAAUUGUGUCUGUACUGAAAGCCCAGCAUGCAGUACUGGUACCUGUUCAAUUCCAGAGUCAGAAGCCAUCUGCAUAACAAUAGCCCAGGAAAAUAACAUGGUAUAUACGCAUAUGCGUAUUUCCCUUGUGCUUGCACCUGUAGCCCGCUCACUUCUG